UACGUAGGGUGCAAGCGUUGUCCGGAUUUAUUGGGCGUAAAGAGCUCGUAGGCGGUUUGUCGCGUCGGAUGUGAAAACCCAGGGCUCAACCCUGGGCCUGCAUUCGAUACGGGCAGACUGGAGUGUGGUAGGGGAGAUCGGAAUUCCUGGUGUAGCGGUGAAAUGCGCAGAUAUCAGGAGGAACACCGGUGGCGAAGGCGGAUCUCUGGGCCAUUACUGACGCUGAGGAGCGAAAGCGUGGGGAGCGAACAGG
rnacentral:rRNA from 1 species